rfam:Brassica napus, WGS project CCCW01000000 data, contig: 10308
UCUGUUGUAGUCUAGCUGGUCAGGAUACUCGGCUCUCACCCCGAGAGACCCGGGUUCGAGUUCCGGCAACGGAG